GACGAACCGUGCGAACGUUGUUCGGAAUCACUGGGCUUAAAGGGCGCGUAGGCGGCUCCGCAAGUCGGGGGUGAAAUCUUUCGGCUUAACCGGAAAAGUGCCUCUGAUACUGCGGAGCUCGAGGGAGGUAGGGGCGGACGGAACUUCCGGUGGAGCGGUGAAAUGCGUUGAGAUCGGAAGGAACGCCCGUGGCGAAAGCGAGCCCCUGGACGUCUACUGACGCUGAGACGCGAAAGCCAGGGGAGCGAACGGG
rnacentral:rRNA from 1 species